UACGUUGAAGGGGGAGCGUUACUCGUAAGUACUAGGCGUAAAGUGCGGCUAGACUGUCUAAGACUCCACCACUUAAAUCGAAGGUCAACCGGAAUUUUUGUUGGAACCUUAGUACUAGAGAUGGAAAGAAGUGUGCAACACGCAUAACCUAGAGAUAAAAUUCGGAAAGGUUAUGAGGGUUCUCAAGGGCCACGGCAGCAGCAUAUUUUCAUCUGACGUUGAACCGCUAAAGUACGAGUGUCGAAUAGGAUUGGAGACCCUAAUAGUUCGUACCGUGAAUCAAUGGGCAUUACAUGUCAAAAGUCUAUUUUUGGUGUGUCAGCUAACGCGGAAAUGCCUCGCCUGGGGAGUAAGGCUGCAAAGGCAAAACUUAAAGAGAUUGGCGGGAGUUUGUAUGAACGGUGGAGCGUGUGGUUUAAUUCGACAAUCCGCGCGGAAUCUUACCAAUGUAGGAAAUACACUAAAAAGGCAAUGCCUGGCGACUGUUUUUCGAACGGUGUAUUCAAUGGUACUGCAUGGCUGUCGUCAGUUCGUAUUGUAAAAUGUAAUAUUAAGUUAUUUAACGAACGCAACCCUUAUCACAAGUUUCAGGACGUACUGUAAGUUAAAGAUACGAACGAACCUCUAGAAGGUUUGCACGCUUAACUUGGCCGGCCUAUCUUGUGACACUACGAAGUAGAUGAGUCUCGUUUAACGUAAUUGCCCAGGUGGUAAUUAAUAGACACUAUUUGCUUUGUGGAAGUUAGGGAGAAGUCAAGUCAUUAUGGUCUAGAUAUGUUGGGCUACACAUGCGCUACAAAGGUGAAGACAGUGGGACGCGACAGAGAAAUCUAAAGCAAAACCCGAAAAAUCAUCUCAGUUCGAAUUGUAGACUGGAACUCGUUUACAUGAAGUCGGAAUCGUUAGUAAUCGUAAAUCAUGACGUUACGGUGAAUGACAUAUCAAACUUUGCACACACCGCCCAUCACGCCCGGAGAGUCGUGACGGCUUGAAACCUCACUAGUUGCUAGAAAGAUAAUUUAGGGAUAGUGGCUGUAACGCCCCCCCCCGCGGCAGUUCCCCGAUAACCGCCAUUAGGUGGUUUGGAGGUCCGUCACUCAACCCUGAGACGUUUGAGGCGGCUGGGAGCAAGCCUAUUUUGGGAAAUGAAUAGGCCUUGGCUGAGCCAAAGACAGAAUUGGGUUUUCAGAAACCAAGCAAUUGACCUCUGAAGAAAUUAUUUAUUAGUUGGACCGGUCGAGGUUGAGAUCAGCGUAAGUGGUGUUUAAGCUUUUUAAACGCCGACGACUUAAUUUUUCGUAAAUUAAGAUGCAAAAGAGGAGGAUAACCGGGAUGGGCGCUGGCCUGUUAGGAAGUUAAUUUAUUAGCGAGACUAACUCAAACUGGGGAAGUAAUUAUUUACGUUAACCAAUAUGGAAGCAGCUGAAGAAGCAGUGGACAUAUGUUUAUAAUCUUCGAACUCCAAACUAACCGUAGGAGGUGGACAUUAAUGGGCUACAGGUGGGAUCUGAACGAUUAGUGUACCUUAAGCCUCCGUAGGUUCGGUUCUUUAAUGUCUAGCUGUCCGGUAGGUUAGAGACGAUAUGGUAAUUUGGGCGAAGUUG
rnacentral:rRNA from 1 species